AGAUAACGUCUCUACUCAUACCAACAACACCAUCCGUGUCCGUGACUCGACACUUCUCUUUCCCUACGUCUCUUCUACUACUAUUUCAUCCACUGGGUUGAAUCGCCACUUCUAUAGCAUUCUCAUUGAGUCUAACUUUGUGUGAAAUCAUGACUAAUUUCACGAUGGAAGAGUACGAGUUCCUCAAAGAGCUAGGAAUUGGUCCCCAAAAUCUCGGUUGUUAUGUUAAUGGCACCUGGAAAGCUACUGGCCCCGUCAUUUCCACUGUUAAUCCUGCUAGCAACCAGAUCAUUGCCGAAGUUUACGAAGCUUCUGCUCGAGAUUAUGAGGAAGGCAUGUCAGCUUGCGCUGAAGCAGCUAAGAUUUGGGUGCAGGUUCCUGCACCAAAAAGAGGAGAGAUUGUUAGACAGAUAGGUGAUGCACUCCGGGCGAACCUUCAGCAAUUUGGUCGACUUGUUUCACUUGAAAUGGGAAAGAUACUCCCAGAAGGAAUUGGGGAGGUUCAAGAAGUCAUUGAUAUGUGUGAUUUUGCUGUGGGAUUGAGUCGACAACUGAAUGGAUCCAUUAUUCCUUCUGAACGCCCUAACCACAUGAUGUUGGAGACGUGGAAUCCGCUCGGGAUAGUUGGUGUAAUCACGGCUUUCAACUUCCCAUGUGCUGUACUUGGAUGGAAUGCAUGUAUUGCA
rnacentral:misc_RNA from 1 species